rnacentral:rRNA from 1 species
CUACGGGUCGCUGCAGUGGGGAAUAUUGGACAAUGGGGGAAACCCUGAUCCAGCAAUGCCGCGUGUGUGAAGAAGGCCUGCGGGUUGUAAAGCACUUUCGGUUGGGAGGACUGCUUCUAGCACUAAUAUUGUUGGAAGUUGACGUUACCUUCAGAAGAAGCACCGGCUAACUCCGUGCCAGCAGCCGCGGUAAUACGGAGGGUGCAAGCGUUAAUCGGAAUUACUGGGCGUAAAGCGCGCGUAGGCGGCUAGAUCAGUCGGGUGUGAAGGCCCCGGGCUUAACCUGGGAACUGCAUCCGAUACUGUCUAGCUUGAGUACAGGAGAGGAGAGUGGAAUUCCACAUGUAGCGGUGAAAUGCGUAGAUAUGUGGAGGAACACCAAUGGCGAAGGCAGCUCUCUGGCCUGAUACUGACGCUGAGGUGCGAAAGCGUAGGGAGCAAACAGGAUUAGAUACCCCUGUAGUC